GAUGAACGCUAGCUACAGGCUUAACACAUGCAAGUCGAGGGGAAACGAUAGAGAAAGCUUGCUUUUUCUAGGCGUCGACCGGCGCACGGGUGAGUAACGCGUAUCCAACCUGCCCAUCACUUGGGGAUAACCUUGCGAAAGUAAGACUAAUACCCAAUGACGUCUCUAGAAGACAUCUGAAGGAGAUUAAAGGAUUUAUCGGUGAUGGAUGGGGAUGCGUCUGAUUAGCUUGUUGGCGGGGUAACGCCCACCAAGGCGACGAUCAGUAGGGGUUCUGAGAGGAAGGCCCCCCANAUUGGAACUGAGACACGGUCCAAAACUCCUACGGGAGCAGUCAGUGAGGAAUAUUGGCAAUGGACGAGAGUCUGAACCAGCCAAGUAGCGUGC
rnacentral:rRNA from 1 species